CAGCGUGUUCUUAUUGGCUGGCAGGAAUUAAAACAAAAUACCAUCUAAAACAAUAACCAAAAUCAAAAGGAGUUCUUUUACUUCUCCCAAAGGUUGCCAUACUUCACAUCUUGCCUCCGACUCCGCCUACAAGAUUCAGACAACCAAUUUCAAAGGAGGAAAUGAAUUCAAACAAAUCUUCGAGAGCAGGACUUUCCAUCCCAGGCACAGUAAGGAUCUCUGGCCAAGCAGCAGUCAGCACAUGCCUCUCCGUACACAUCACACCUGUGCAGCGCCAGAUGAGUAACACCCACCACUGAACUCAC